rnacentral:lncRNA from 1 species
ACGGCUUCCCCUGAACGCGGAUCCUAGAGGCCAGGCAGAAGCAGCAUGGGUUUCCACUCACACGAUUUAUCUACUGCUCGUGAAAUCUCUGGAUUUAACUGUGAUGAAAGACCGGAGGCUGAAGGAGAACUUCAAUAUCAUAUAUUUUAAAGGUUGACUCACAGUUUGGAACAAGAAUUAAAGAACCACGAACUUCAAGAGCUGCAGAGGAGACGCUUCUACAUCAGGACAUCAGAAGCUGGAACGGGGAUGGCCGGCGAGGGGCCUCUUGUUGGGGUCACAGAGAUGGGUCGCAGAGAUGGCCUGUGUGGAAGGUUGGAUUCUCACCCCACCUCUGCCCCUAGAUGUCCUGGUGACCCUCCCCUCUGUAGUCUUGGUUUUUUGCAAAACACUUAUGACCUCCUGCCAUACUGGGUACUUUGCUUAUGUAUUGUGUUUACUCUUUACUGUGUGUCUCUCCUGCUAAGGUCUACGAAGAAGGGUCUUUGUGGGUGGGGUUCUUAGAGGCAUCCCAAGUACCAGAAGCAGUCCCUGGACUAAGGGGCUCAAGAAAUAUUUUUUAUUUAUUAUUUUUUCUUUUUGAGAUGCAGUCUCUCUCUCUUGCCCAGGCUGGA